rnacentral:snRNA from 1 species
AUGCUCACUUAGGCAGCUCAUAUACUAAAAUUAGAAUCACACUGGGAAGAUUAGUAUGACCCUUCAUAAGAAUGACAUGCAAAUUCAUUAACUGUUCAUAUUUUUU